CUGCCCGGUAGCUAAAUGCGGAAGAGAUAAGUGCUGAAAGCAUCUAAGCACGAAACUUGCCCCGAGAUGAGUUCUCCCUGACUCCUUGAGAGUCCUGAAGGAACGUUGAAGACGACGACGUUGAUAGGCCGGGUGUGUAAGCGCAGCGAUGCGUUGAGCUAACCGGUACUAAUGAACCGUGAGGCUUAACCUUACAACGCCGAAGGUGUUU
rnacentral:rRNA from 2 species